GUCAAUAACCCACCUCUAAAGAGGUGGGCUUGUCGAUGAGGCAAGCCCUGAUUGACCAGACUGAGUUCCCUCAACCAAAAGGGAACUACGUUAUCCCGGCUAUGAUACCCUCGGAUGCUUCCUUAGUCCGUUGGUCUAUC
rnacentral:sRNA from 21 species